CCUUUUCCCGGUACUCGCCCGGAUUCUAUUAUUUUUCGGUACUCACAUUGAUUCGACCAUUUUUUUGUAAUCGCCGGGACAGUUUUUCAAUACUCGCACGGAUUCUUCCUUUUCCCGGUACUCUUCCGGAUUCUACUAUUUUUUGGUACUCACACUGAUUCGACCCUUUUCCGGUACUCGUCAGGACAAUUUUUCGAUACUCGCAUGGAUUCAACCUUUUCCCGGUACUCGCCCGGAUUCUAUCAUUUUUCCGUACUCACAUUGAUUCGACCAUUUUUUUCUAAUCGCCGAGACAGUUUUUCGAUAGUCGCACGGAUUCUACCUUUUCCCGGUACUCUCCCGGAUUCUACUAUUUUUCGGUACUCACACUGAUUCGACCCUUCUCCGGUACUCGUCAGGACAAUUUUUCAGUACUCGCAUGGAUUCUACCUUUUCCCGGUACUCGCCCGGAUUCUAUCAUUUUACGGUACUCACAUUGAUUCGACCAUUUUUUUGUAAUAGCCGGGACUGGUUUUCGAUACUUGCACGGAUUCUAUCUUUUCCCGGUAGUCUCCCAGAUUCUACUAUUUGUCGGUACUCACACUGAUUCGAGCCUUUUCCGGUACUCGACCGGACAAUUUUUCGAUACUCGCAUGGAUACUUCCUUUUCCUGGUACUCGCCCGGAUUCUAUUAUUUUUCGGUACUCACAUUGAUUCGACCAUUUUUUUGUAAUCCCCGGGAAAGUUUUUCANNNNNNNNNNNNNNNNNNNNNNNNNNNNNNNNNNNNNNNNNNNNNNNNNNNNNNNNNNNNNNNNNNNNNNNNNNNNNNNNNNNNNNNNNNNNNNNNNNNNCAUUUUACGGUACUCACAUGAUCGACCAUUUUUGUAUAGCCGGGACUGGUUUUCGAUACUUGCACGGAUUCUAUCUUUUCCCGGUAGUCUCCCAGAUUCUACUAUUUGUCGGUACUCACACUGAUUCGAGCCUUUUCCGGUACUCGACCGGACAAUUUUUCGAUACUCGCAUGGAUACUUCCUUUUCCUGGUACUCGCCCGGAUUCUAUUAUUUUUCGGUACUCACAUUGAUUCGACCAUUUUUUUGUAAUCGCCUGGACAGUUUUUCAAUACUCGCACGGAUUCUUCCUUUUCCCGGUACUCUUCCAGAUUCUACUAUUUUUUGGUACUCACACUUAUUCGACCCUUCUCCGGUACUCGUCAGGACAAUUUUUCAAUACUCGCAUGGAUUCUACCUUUUCCCGGUACUCGCCCGGAUUCCAUCAUUUUUCGGUACUCACAUUGAUUCGACCAUUUUUUUCUAAUAGCCGGGACUGGUUUUCGAUACUCGCACGGAUUCUAUCUUUUCCCGGUAGUCUCCCAGAUUCUACUAUUUUUCGGUACUCACACUGAUUCGAGCCUUUUCCGGUACUCGACAGGACAAUUUUUCGAUACUCCCAUGGAUACUUCCUUUUCCUGGUACUCGCCCGGAUUCUAUUAUUUUUCAGUUCUCACAUUGAUUCGACCAUUUUUUUGUAAUCGCCGGGAAAGUUUUUCAAUACUCGCACGGAUUCUUCCUUUUCCCGGUACUCUUCCGGAUUCUACUAUUUUUUGGUGCUCACACUGAUUCGACCCUUCUCCGGUACUCGUCAGGACAAUUUUUCAAUACUCGCAUGGAUUCUACCUUUUCCCGGUACUCGCCCGGAUUCUACCAUUUUUCGGUACUCACAUUGAUUCGACCAUUUUUUUCUAAUCGCCGAGACAGUUUUUCGAUAGUCGCACGGAUUCUACCUUUUCCCGGUACUCUCCCGGAUUCUACAAUUUUUCGGUACUCACACUGAUUCGACCCUUCUCCGGUACUCGUCAGGACAAUUUUUCAAUACUCGCAUGGAUUCUACCUUUUCCCGGUACUCGCCCGGGAUUCUAUCAUUUUUCGGUACUCACAUUGAUUCGACCAUUUUUUUGUAAUAGCCCGGGACUGGUUUNNNNNNNNNNNNNNNNNNNNNNNNNNNNNNNNNNNNNNNNNNNNNNNNNNNNNNNNNNNNNNNNNNNNNNNNNNNNNNNNNNNNNNNNNNNNNNNNNNNNNNNNNNNNNNNNNNUCAGGACCAUUUUUUGAUACUGCAUGGAUUUUACUUUUCUCGGGUACUCGCCCGGAUUUAUCAUUUUCGGUACUCACAAUGAUUCGACCAUUUUUUUGUAAUUAGCCGGGAUUGGUUUUUGAUACUCGCACGGAUUCUACCUUUUCCCAGUACUCACCCGGAUCUACUAUUUUUCGGUACUCACACUGAUUCGAGCCUUUUCCGGUACUCGACAGGACAAUUUUUCGAUACUCGCAUGGAUACUUCCUUUUCCUGGUACUCGCCCGGAUUCUAUUAUUUUUCGGUACUCACAUUGAUUCGACCAUUUUUUUGUAAUCGCCGGGAAAGUUUUUCAAUACUCGCACGGAUUCUUCCUUUUCCUGGUGCUCUUCCGGAUUCUACUAUUUUUUGGUACUCACACUGAUUCGACCCUUCUCCGGUACUCGUCAGGACAAUUUUUCAAUACUCGCAUGAUUCUACCUUUUCCCGGUACUUGCCCGGAUUCUAUCAUUUUUCGGUACUCACAUUGAUUCGACCAUUUUUUUGUAAUAGCCGGGAUUGGUUUUCGAUACUCGCACGGAUUCUACCUUUUCCCAGUACUCACCCGGAUUCUACUAUUUUUCGGUACUCACACUGAUUGACCCUUUUCCGGAACUUGUGAGGACAAUUUUUCGAUACUCACAUGGAUUCUACCUUUUCCCGGUACUCGCCCGGAUUCUAUCAUUUUUCAGUUCUCACAUUGAUUCGACCAUUUUUUUGUAAUCGCCGGGAAAAUUUUUCAAGACUCGCACGGAUUCUUCUUUUUCCCGGUACUCUUCCGGAUUCUACUAUUUUUUUGUGCUCACACUGAUUCGACCCUUCUCCGGUACUCGUCAGGACAAUUUUUCAAUACUCGCAUGGAUUCUACCUUUUCCCAUUACUCGCCCGGAUUCUAUCAUUUUUCGGCACUCACAUUGAUUUGACCAUUUUUUUCUAAUCGCCGAGACAGUUUUUCGAUAGUCGCACGGAUUCUACCUUUUCCCGGUACUCUCCCGGAUUCUACUAUUUUUCGGUACUCACACUAAUUCGAGCCUUUUCCGCUACUCGACAGGACAAUUUUUCGAUACUCUCAUGGAUACUUCCUUUUCCUGGUACUCGCCCGGAUUCUAUUAUUUUUCGGUACUCACAUUGAUUCGACCAUUUUUUUGUAAUCGCCGGGAAAGUUUUUCAAUACACACACGGAUUCUUCCUUUUCCCGGUACUCUUCCGGAUUCUACUAUUUUUUGGUACUCACACUGAUUCGACCCUUCUCCGGUACUCGUCAGGACAAUUUUUCAAUACUCGCACAAUUCUACCUUUUCCCGGUACUUGCCCCGAUUCUAUCAUUUUUCGGUACUCACAUUGAUUCGACCAUUUUUUUGUAAUAGCCGGGAUUUGUUUUCGAUACUCGCACGGAUUCUACCUUUUCCCAGUACUCACCCGGAUUCUACUAUUUUUCGGUACUCACACUGAUUCGAGCCUUUUCCGGUACUCGAUAGGACAAUUUUUCGAUACUCGCAUGGAUACUUCCUUUUCCUGGUACUCGCCCGGAUUCUAUUAUUUUUCGGUACUCACAUUGAUUCGACCAUUUUUUUGUAAUCGCCGGCAAAGUUUUUCAAUACUGGACGGAUUCUUCCUUUUCCCGGUACUCUUCCGGAUUCUACUAUUUUUCGGUACUCACACUAUUGACCCUUUUCCGGUACUCGUGAGGACAAUUUUUCGAUACUCACAUGGAUUCUACCUUUUCCCGGUACUCACCCGGAUUCUAUCAUUUUUCAGUACUCACAUUGAUUCGACCAUUUUUUUCUAAUCGCCGGGACAGUUUUUCAAUACUCGCACGUAUUCUUCCUUUUCCCGGUACUCGUCAGGACAAUUUUUCGAUACACGCAUGGAUUCUACCUUUUCCCGAUACUCGCCCGGAUUCUAUUAUUUUUCGGUACUCACAUUGAUUCGACCAUUUUUUUGUAAUCGCCGGGAAAGUUUUUCAAUAGUCGCACGGAUUCUUCCUUUUCUCGGUACUCUUCCGGAUUCUACUAUUUUUUGGUACUCACACUGAUUCGACCCUUCUCCGGUACUCGUCAGGACAAUUUUUCAAUACUCGCAUGGAUUCUACCUUUUCCCGGUACUCGCCCGGAUUCUAUCAUUUCUCGGUACUCACAUUGAUUCGACCAUUUUUUUGUAAUAGCCGGGAAUGGUUUUCGAUACUCGCACGGAUUCUUCCUUUUCCCGGUACUCUUCCGGAUUCUACUAUUUUUUGGUGCUCACACUGAUUCGACCCUUUUCCGGUACUCGUCAGGACAAUUUUUCAAUACUCGCAUGGAUUCUACCUUUUCCCGGUACUCGCCGGAUUCUAUCAUUUUUCGGUACUCACAUUGAUUCGACCAUUUUUUUCUAAUCGCCGAGACAGUUUUUCGAUAGUCGCACGAAUUCUACCUUUUCCCGGUACUCUCCCGGAUUCUACAAUUUUUCGGUACUCACACUGAUUCGACCCUUCUCCGGUACUCGUCAGGACAAUUUUUCAAUACUCGCAUGGAUUCUACCUUUUCCCGGUACUCGCCCGGAUUCUAUCAUAUUUCGGUACUCACAUUGAUUCGACCAUUUUUUUGUAAUAGCCGGGACUGGUUUUC
rnacentral:lncRNA from 1 species